CAGAAAAUGGCAUGAGGUUCAUGAAACCAGGCUCAACACCAGCAUGAGGUUCAGGUCCAUCUGUCGAGUCUUCUACUGGUUCUUCAGGUUCCAUCUUGUUUGUGUUGCUGUAAAGAUUCAAGAUUUUCGAGAUUCGAAAAGAAAUUACUUCCUGCUGCAUACAAGUACAACACCAGCAGGUUCUACUUCCUUUGUUCCUACGUGGAGCAGAUUUUGUUGCAAAUAUGAACACAAACUGGACAGGUUCUACUUCCUUCAUUAGUUGCAAAUCUGAACAUAAACUGGACAGUUCAUCUGUUCUGUGGGUUACUCUUACUUGCAUACGAUGUAAAUCUUUGCAAGAACACAUGUUUUACUUCCUACAUGGAGCAGAUUUUGUUGGAAAUCUGAACAUAAACUGGACAGGUUCUACUUCCUUCAUUACUUGCACAUCUCUACAUAAACUCGACAGUUCAUCUGUUCUGUGUGUUACUUUUAGUUGCAUAUGCUUCCUGUAUGUAAAUCUUCGCAAGAACACAUGUGUUAGUUCCUACGUGGAGCAGAUCAGAACUUGGAACUUGUGUGCUAGAACCAAGAUUACAUGAAGAAGUAAGAUCUGGGAUAAACUGGCAGCAAGUUUCGAAAUUUUUACCUUUGUUUCUUCCCUGGCCUCGUCCAGAUGAAGGUGCAGCAGUUAUGUUACUUUUUGCAGGGACUGGCAGGUGCCCCACGUAUCUUGUGUUACUUCCCUGACUUCAAACAUGGAGGAAUGGUUCUUUCUCCCUUUCUGCCAUCCCUGGCGGUGGUGGAGGAGUUAGGGAAGGAAGAAAGGACUCGAUCUGUCUUUCUGGUUUCGAAAACAGCUUAUCCCAGCAAGUUUCGAAAUUUUUACCUUUGUUUCUUCCCUUUUCUAGCUGGGUGUCGCUAGGUGGCACGAAAACAGCAUGGGCCUGUCGAUGUUUUCGCUCGCGUCCUCGCCUGUUUCCGCGCGCGUCCAACCCGGGAUGCUUUUUCGGGAAGGGGUGGGAAAACGCGUGAACCCAAAUAUGGGCUGUCGGAACUGAGCACCCGGGAAGCCCAAAAGUGGCUGACCACUGUGUAGUCGCCCCCAUAUUUAAUUUAAUUUGUCCCUCUUUUGUGUUCAGAUCUAUGUCGAGAUUACAUACUCCACAUGGAAAUAACGAACUUUAGGAUCAACCCAGGGCAUACAGUUACAAUACAUGGAGGGGAUAAUAAUAACACAGAUAAUAAGGCACCAAGAUAUCAAUUUGUUGGUGAUUUUGGGCUGAUUGGCAAGUGAUUUAAUAGGUACUGACAUUUAGUAAUGCAGUUAGGAAUUAAAAUUAAUGAUGUAGCACCACAACUUUCAGUGUUAAUUAAAAUUAGUGAGCAUGAUUUCGCUGCAGCAACCAUAUAUGCAUGCUAUAUUUCUGGUAGCAGCAGUUGUGCUUAAGCAAGUUUGAUCAUUUGCUUUCUUAUUUGGCUGUCUGCAAGAAAUAUAUACUUGAGGUCCCAAUCAAUUAGAUAUACUAGAACUUUACCUUAGAGUGAAAAUAAAGUUCAUGUUGCCAUUGUAUUUCUACUUUAUUUAAAGCGAUCAAGUUUGGUUACCUAUCUGCCUAUACUGUGAAUAGCUUCAUAUAUAUUUUUCCGUAGAUGAAAAAUCUCCAUGUAUGUUCCUGCCCUUUAAUUUAUAUGGCUUAACGACGUUCUUUAGCUGAAUAAAAUAGCUCCUUGCAGAUUUUGUAAGAUCACACGCUUAUCUACAAGAAAAUGCAGUUUGCAAGAAGGUAAUACAGAAUCUUUGGUACUGGUUUUCUCUACUGUAUCCUGAGCUGCCAUGGUACUGGAUCAUUGAUGGAAUUGGUUUUCGAGGGUAUUAAAUGCCUUUCCGGUCGUCCUCAUUGAAAGAUGAGCUCUCAUGAUGUUUAUUCCAUUUCAAGGGUAUAAAGCAAGUGUCCUGUUUGCAAGUAACUGCGGACAUAGAUUGUUUGCAAGUAACUGCAGACAUAGAUUGCAUUACAGUGUUGAUUUUUCUGUCGUUCAUAUAUAGGCAUAUGGCCAGUUUCGCCAUCUUCACGGGCUCGAUCUAGACACGUCCAGGUGUUGUGUGGCAUGUUCUUCCAUUUGGAUUUUAUUAGUACAAGCUCCAGAUUGCAGUAUGCUUCAGACAUCUUAUGGUUUAUCCUAGCAUUAGAUCAUGAAGAACUGUAAUAAUUUCCCUAAGCGAGGUCAUGCUUCACUAAUAUUUGGGAAAAUUGUGCAUGUCACAAGUAUUGUAAGAUAUGCCCCUGUGACAUUAAGAAGCGGGCUUAU